GUGGGGGGUCGGGGGGGUGAGGAGGGUCUGCCUCUGCUUGGCAGCUCCUGGAGGAACUGCUGCCUUUCUUUCUUUUCAGCUGAUUCAUUUUUGUUUCCAAUUUCCAGAGGAAAUGUAACUCGGGUGAAACCUGGCGCAGAGCUCCGAAGCCGGAGGGUCCGAGAAAGCGGCGCAAAGGGAAGAAAAAGAGCAGCGAGGGCUGUACUUACAGAGCUGGCAGGAAUUUCAUUCAAAGGGAAGAAAGAGGAAAAAAGAAAGAAAAAGGAAGGGGAAAAAAAAAAGAAAGAAACCUCAACAAAUAAAGCCGCGUUCUUAACUCCGCGAGCAGUGCUUGUUUUAUAACAGAGUUUUUUGUGAGAGCAGCGCAGGGGAGGGCAGAGCUGGAGCACGAACAGGGAGGCAGCAGCACCCAACCUGCACUGCAAGCGCUUCAGACUUCGGGACGCUGAAACACAACCCCAGAUAUCGCUCCGUGUCUGUGCCGGCAGCUGGGAGGGCUGGGAGGUUCGGGCGCAGCCGGGCUGAGCUCGGGCUGCUGGGUCCUGCCCUGCUCCUCUCGCCAUCCCCAUCCACGGGGCGGGGGGGAGCUGCAGGGUGUGGGGCAGUCAGUGCCGUGCGGCGGCUCCAGAGCGCCCUGCAGGGCUGUGGGAUGCUGCGAUGCUGGAGAUGCUCAUCGAACCGGGGUGUGAGAAAGAAGGACCCCGCUUUGGGUGGCUGUGACCCAUGUAGUCACCCCUCUGGCUGUGGCCAUGCUGAGGAUGUCACAUUGCUGCUGCACGUGUUGGGAGCUGAAUGUCACAGCUUCACGUCCUGACAGGGCGCUUUUGCUUCCAGCAAUAAAAGUCUUUCCUAAC
rnacentral:lncRNA from 7 species